AUGAACGCUGGCGGCGUGCCUAAUACAUGCCAGUCGAGCGAACGGACGAGAAGCUUGCUUCUCUGAUGUUAGCGGCGGACGGGGGAGUAACACGUGGAUAACCUACCUAUAAGACUGGGAUGACUUCGGGAAACCGGAGCUAAUACCGGAUAAUUUUUUUAACCGCAUGGUUCAAAAGUGAAAGACGGUCUUGCUGUCACUUAUAGAAGGAUCCGCGCUGCAUCAGCUAGUUGGUAAGGUAACGGCUUACCAAGGCAACGAUGCAUAGCCGACCUGAGAGGGUGAUCGGCCACACUGGAACUGAGACACGGUCCAGACUCCUACGGGAGGCAGCAGUAGGGAAUCUUCCGCAAUGGGCGAAAGCCUGACGGAGCAACGCCGCGUGAGUGAUGAAGGUCUUCGGAUCGUAAAACUCUGUUAUUAGGGAAGAACAUAUGUGUAAGUAACUGUGCACAUCUUGACGGUACCUAAUCAGAAAGCCACGGCUAACUACGUG
rnacentral:rRNA from 1 species